UACGUAGGCAGCGAGCGUUGUUCGGAGUUACUGGGCGUAAAGGGUGUGUAGGCGGUUCUUUAAGUCAGUGGUGAAAUCUCCGAGCUCAACUUGGAAACUGCCAUUGAUACUAUUAGUCUUGAAUUCUGUUGAGGUUGGCGGAAUAAGUCAUGUAGCGGUGAAAUGCAUAGAUAUGACUUAGAACACCGAUUGCGAAGGCAGCUAACUAAGCAGAUAUUGACGCUGAGGCACGAAAGCGUGGGGAUCAAACAGG
rnacentral:rRNA from 1 species